UUGCUUCCGCAGUACAUAUACUAAAAUUGGAACAAUACAGAGAUUAGCGUAGCCCUUGCGCAAGGCUAUCACGCAAAUUCGUGAGGUGUUCCAUAUUUAA
rnacentral:snRNA from 1 species